rnacentral:rRNA from 1 species
GUGGGGAAUAUUGGACAAUGGGCGAAAGCCUGAUCCAGCCAUGCCGCGUGUGUGAAGAAGGUCUUCGGAUUGUAAAGCACUUUAAGUUGGGAGGAAGGGCAGUAAGUUAAUACCUUGCUGUUUUGACGUUACCAACAGAAUAAGCACCGGCUAACUUCGUGCCAGCAGCCGCGGUAAUACGAAGGGUGCAAGCGUUAAUCGGAAUUACUGGGCGUAAAGCGCGCGUAGGUGGUUCAGCAAGUUGGAGGUGAAAUCCCCGGGCUCAACCUGGGAACUGCCUCCAAAACUACUGAGCUAGAGUACGGUAGAGGGUAGUGGAAUUUCCUGUGUAGCGGUGAAAUGCGUAGAUAUAGGAAGGAACACCAGUGGCGAAGGCGACUACCUGGACUGAUACUGACACUGAGGUGCGAAAGCGUGGGGAGCAAACAGGAUUAGAAACCCGUGUAGUCC